ensembl:snRNA U6 U6 spliceosomal RNA
CUGUGGUGCUUGCUUCAGCUAUACUAAAAUUGGAACGAUACAGAGAUUAGCAUCGCCCCUGCGCAAGGAUGACACGCAAAUUCGUGAAGCAUUCCAUAUUUUU